UGGGGAAUCUUGCACAAUGGGGGCAACCCUGAUGCAGCGACGCCGCGUGAGCGAUGAAGCCCUUCGGGGCGUAAAGCUCUUUCGACCGGAACGAUAAUGACGGUACCGGGAGAAGAAGCUGCGGCUAACUACGUGCCAGCAGCCGCGGUAAUACGUAGGCAGCAAGCGUUGUUCGGAGUUACUGGGCGUAAAGAGUGCGUAGGCGGUUUUGUAAGACAGAGGUGAAAUCCCCGGGCUCAACCUGGGAACUGCCUUUGUGACUGCAAGGCUGGAGUGCGGCAGAGGGGGAUGGAAUUCCGCGUGUAGCAGUGAAAUGCGUAGAUAUGCGGAGGAACACCGAUGGCGAAGGCAAUCCCCUGGGCCUGCACUGACGCUCAUGCACGAAAGCGUGGGGAGCAAACA
rnacentral:rRNA from 1 species